GAUGAACGCUGGCGGCGUGCCUAAUACAUGCAAGUCGAGCGAACAGACGAGGAGCUUGCUCCUCUGACGUUAUCGGCGGACGGUUGAGUAACACGUGGAUAACCUACCUAUAAGACUGGGAUAACUUCGGGAAACCGGAGCUAAUACCGGCUAAUCUAUUGCACCGCAUGGUUCAAUAGUGAAAGACUUUUUUGCUGUCACUUAUAGAUGGAUCCGCGCCGCAUUAGCUAGUUGGUAAGGUAACGGCUUACCAAGGCAACCAUGCGUAGCCGACCUGAGAGGGGGAACGGCAACACUGGAACUGAGACACGGUCCAGACGCCUACGGGAGGCAGAAGUAGGGAAUCUGCAGCAAUGGGCGAAAGCCUGACGGAGCAACGACGCGUGAGUGAUGAAGGUCUUCGGAUCGGAAAACUCUGUUAUUAGGGAAGAACAAAUGUGUAAGUAAAUAUGCACGUCUUGAAGGUACCUAAUCAGAAAGACACGGCUAACUACGUG
rnacentral:rRNA from 1 species